AGCAGCCGCGGUAAUUCCAGCUCCAAUAGCGUAUAUUAAAGUUGUUGCAGUUAAAAAGCUCGUAGUUGAAUUUCGGGGUUCUACCGUCGGUCGGGCUAACAAGUCUGUACUGGUGUGUAGAAUUUCUACCUUCUGGGGAACUAUCAUGUUAUUAAUUUAGCGUGGUGGGAAACCAGGACCUUUACCUUGAAAAAAUUAGAGUGUUCAAAGCAGGCUUACGUCUGAAUACAUUAGCAUGGAAUAAUAGAAUAGGACGGUGGUCCUGUUUUGUUGGUUUCUGAAUCACCGUAAUGAUUAAUAGGGAUAGUUGGGGGCAUUAGUAUUCAAUUGUCAGAGGUGAAAUUCUUGGAUUUAUUGAAGACUAACUUCUGCGAAAGCAUUUGCCAAGGAUGUUUUCAUUAAUCAAGAACGAAAGUUAGGGGAUCGAAGACGAUCAGAUACCGUCGUAGU
rnacentral:rRNA from 1 species